UGGAGUGGUCAUACACUUCCAAAGUUAAGGAUGCUCAUUUAUAUAAGUAACUACUUCCUCAUUAAAGAAACAAUUCAGAUUAAAAAACGUGAUCCUCUCUUCUUCAGUCUGAUUAUAAUUAGAAGCUGGUGUGUGUUAAAGGAUCAAAAAAUCAAUUCUUGGUUCUUCGAUUCAUAGAGUUGUAUAAAAAUUGGGUGCAAAUCGUAGUUUGAGAUAAGGAUGGAAUCAAUGUCCUCUAAUAACUGUUAAUUCAUUUUUUUCCGCGAGAAGAAGCUCAAUUUAUCAACGAUGGUGCUCGAAGGUAGUUUGAUGAAUGUGCCUCAAAAUAAGUCUGCGUCGUGUGUUCCUCAAACUGGCAGUUCAGCUUAAGGUCAAGGAACUCUUCAAUGGGAAGGUGAAGGAAGCUGGUAAAGAAGAAGGUGGUCUAUACUUGUUCAUGCAACAUUAAAAUAAUAAAAUUGAGUCAAGGUCCAGUAAUGAAAAAGAAGAUCUUGUUGUCAACAAUACAAAGACAGUAGACAUGAAGUUGUGGCAUCAAAGGUUAGGACAUGUGUCUUCUGGAGUUCUUCCAAGACUGUUUGGUGUGAAUCAACAAACGUUAUGUUUUUUGUCAGAAUGUUCUAUAUGUCCCUAUGCUAAACAAGGCUAGCAUUUCCUGUGAGUGGUAUUAAAAGUGUAGCUUUUUUUUGACUUGAUACAUGUUGAUGUUUAGGGUCCUUAUGCUAUACCUACAGUUGAUUGUAGCAAGUAUUUUCUUACUAUUGUUGAUGUUUUUUCAAAAUUGACUUGGCUAUUCUUGCUUAAACUUAAAUUAGCUGGUUGUGUUUCUAUUACAGAGUUUCUUGUAUAUGUUAAAACUCAAUUUGGUAAGGGAGUCAAAAUAUUAAGGUCUGA